ensembl:lncRNA
CUUCCUCCUGUCACACCCUUGUCAGCUGUGGAUCAUUUCCCUUCCUCAACACCAUUCUCUUUCUAUUUGUCUCCUUUCCUUUCCCUGCUUCUCCCAGAUAGGAUAGUUGAUAUGAUCUCCACACUCAGCAGGAAGAUUAUCAAAUGUGGGUUUUCUCCUGUAAUGGAUUUUUGUCCUUCUUUCAAGUAAGACAAAGUUGAUCUUUUCCCUUCGUAGUAUCUAGUAUAAUGCUGUGUUUUGGCUUCAGGAGAAAAAAACAGUAUUGAUAACGCAUUCAUGUUUUAGUUGUCACUCAGCAGUGCUGUAUGGAGCCAAGGAUGUUUCAGUUUUUCAGUUUCUUGAACGAUUCUGCCAGCAAGAAGGGCCGAGGGGACACAAGGAACCAGGAGGGGACAGAACCAAAACAGCUGACCUAACCUGGCCAAAUAGGUUGUCAUGUACCCAGAGCCCUGUUGCUGUAAACAUCCAUCUAAGAGAGCCAAUGGAUCACGGUGUGGCCCCUGUUCACAACACAGCUGCCUAUGUGGAGAAACCAGACUGCUUAGUAAGGAGGAAAGGAAAGGCUUGUG